AACGCGAAGAACCUUACCUGGGCUCGAAGCGCAGUGGAAUCCGGUGGAAACAUCGGCGCCCGCAAGGGCCGCUGCGGAGGUGCUGCAUGGCUGUCGUCAGCUCGUGUCGUGAGAUGUUGGGUUAAGUCCCGCAACGAGCGCAACCCUUAUCGUUAGUUGCCAGCGGGUUAUGCCGGGCACUCUAGCGAAACCGCCUCGGAUAACGGGGAGGAAGGUGGGGAUGACGUCAAGUCCUCAUGGCCUUUAUGUCCAGGGCUACACACGUGCUACAAUGGUCGGUACAAACCGUCGCAAACUCGCGAGAGGGAGCUAAUCGGAGAAAGCCGACCUCAGUUCGGAUUGGAGUCUGCAACUCGACUCCAUGAAGCUGGAAUCGCUAGUAAUCGCGGAUCAGCACGCCGCGGUGAAUACGUUCCCGGGCCUUGUA
rnacentral:rRNA from 1 species